GCUCUUUCAAGGUUAACACAACAUUGCUCUUUCAAGGUUAACACAACAUUGUUCUUUCAAGGUUAACACAACAUUGCUCUUUCAAGGUUAACACAACAUUGCUCUUUCUAGGUUAACACAACAUUGCUCUUUCAAGGUUAACACAACAUUGCUCUUUCAAGGUUAACACAACAUUGCUCUUUCUAGGUUAACACAACAUUGCUCUUUCAAGGUUAACACAACAUUGCUCUUUCUAGGUUAACACAACAUUGCUCUUUCUAGGUUAGCAGAAUGUUCUGCCACAUUGAUGCUCAGGUGAGAAGUUAAAUGUCACCAGAGCACCGUAUAUUAUAGUAUACCGAACCAAAAACCAUAUUCACC